AUUGAACGCUGGCGGCAGGCCUAACACAUGCAAGUCGAACGAGCGGCGGACGGGUGAGUAGUGCCUGGGACUUGCCAAGGAGGGGGGGAUAACAGUUGGAAACGACUGCUAAUCCCGCAUACUCUGGGAUUGCCCAGGUGGGAUUCGCUAGUUGGGGGGGUAAUGGCUCACAAGGGCGACGAUCCCUAGCUGGUCUGAGGGGAUGACCAGCCACACUGGAACUGAGACACGGUCCAGACUCCUACGGGAGGCAGCAGUGGGGAAUAUUGCACAAUGGGGGAAACCCUGAUGCAGCCAUGCCGCGUGUGUGAAGAAGGCCUUCGGGUUGUAAAGUACUUUCAGCGAGGAGGCGUUACUCGCAGAAGAAGCACCGGCUAACUCCGUGCCAGCAGCCGCGGUAAUAC
rnacentral:rRNA from 1 species